UACAGUAGUUGAAAAUAAAUUUGUAAUUCACAUUUUAUUUUAUUUUGAUAAAGGAUUACAUUUUCAAAUCUCUUUUUUAUUGUUGUGCAGGAAGCUCUUUUACUAUUGUGGAGAUUGGCUUAUCCUGACAGGGAGCUUCCUUCACUUAAAUCAGAUCUUUGGAAGGAAAUGGGAUGGCAAGGUUCAGAUCCAUCAACAGAUUUUAGAAAAUGGCAUAGAUUUUGGAACCUUCGACGCAAUGGCAGAUGAUAAUCACGAAAACCUCUCAGUGUGCAACUCAGAUCAUAUCAAAGAUGUGGAGUUCUUUAGUUAAGAAACAAAACAAGAAAGUUACGCGUUCGGCUAAAUUUAGAGUUAUGGAAAUCAACUCUGAAAAUGGCACCAUCAAUAGGGUGGAGGAUUUGCUUAAUUGGGACAUCACUCCAUUCAGUGACAACAUAAUUGCUGAGUACAUAUGGAUUGGUGGAACAGGAAUCGAUGUGCGCAGCAAAUCAAGGAGCACACCUUCGUUCACUAUUAUCCUACUGCGAUAGCAAUCUCCGCUCUUCUGGCUGCUUCCAAAAUUGCAUAUCGCAGACUGUAUAGAGAGUGGAGCAGAAAAAACUGAGAAAAUAAAUCUAACAAAACUCAGUUUUCAGUGUAUCCUUCUCUAACACAAUUCAAGGAAACAUUUGAAACUACAUGGCAUCCCAGGAAUAAUAAGAGGUAAAAGAAAAAUACCCCACGUAAUAGCAGACGAAAGGGAUGCCGGCGUCGGAUUUUGAACCGUGGUGGUGGUGCGAUUCUAAAAUUGUUUGUUCGAAAACAGUUCCGACCAACCAGUGCAAGCGAGUUGAACUUGUGACCUUAAAGGUUGUUGGCACGAUUAUUUAGCGGCUGAAGUGAGGAAAUCCGGUGCUUAUGUGAGGCAGAUAUUCACGAUUUUCGUGUAACAAGGUGGCUGUUUGUGUUGGUUCAGCAGCGAUGGUAUGAAUGAGGAGUAUUAUUGUUGCGGCUUUGGUUGAAAGGUGGGUAUUGUAUGAAUGGUUGCUGUUAAUGUGAUGAGGUUUGUGGAAGAUUGCCGAGGAGACUGUUGUUAUAAUGUUGCUGAUGAGCGGGUUUGAUAGAACUUUCUAUUUCAGGCUCAUUUACAUACAUAUGUUUUCAAAUGUUAUAAAUGAGUUUGGUUGGCAAGACAUGGUUAGCCACUGCCCAUUAUAGAUGGAGAGAGGUUAUCGUGGUAUACAGUGAUGAUGACCAUGGGAGAAACGAAAUUGGUACGUUAGCGGAUAAGCUUGACGUUGCAAGAUAUCGUUUAAAGCACCGAUGACUCCUGAUACAAAGAGGGAGGAGAUUACUAUCAUGUUGUCGAGUUUUUACUUUCUCGGUAAAGUUGUUUCCUUUUAAAAAUGUUAUAUGUCAAAUAUGGAACCUACUGAUGCCAAAAACUAUUCAUCUGGUAUUCAAGCUGGUAGUUCUGUUAAACACAAGAAAUUUGGUAAAACUAUGACUGAUUAUGAUUUUUCUUCUCGCGGCAGGGUCAUUGUCAUGUCUUCAAGCUUAUUUUACC